AGUAAAGCUAGAUGUAAAUGAGAGUUUGAACUAAAGUAACUCUAUACCCCAUCCAGCUCCAGGGACCAUAAGAUAACGGAUGGAGUAGUUCAAGGAGAGAAGACAGUAGGCCCCCUUGGACUGGAUUCCCAGUCCAAGUCUUGGUUUCCAUCUCCUGAGUCCCAGACCACAAAGAGCUAGGCACCACUCCUGGUCACAGUAGAGCCAGAAUACUUGCUGUCCUCUCCAAAGGGCAUUUUACAAUGAAGAGAAGGCUGAACAGAGUGAGAACACAUGCAGUUCAUAAGACGAAGAUAGCACGGAAGGUGUAGAUAUUCAAUAACUGAUUCAGACAUCAAAUAGGAUGGCCUGCUGGGAUAGUCCUUCCAUAAGUCCAUGAGGGUUCAA